GUUUGCUGUUUGCAGCCACCAUGAGCUGUGGCCUAGCCAUGCCCACCUGCCUUGGAGCCAACUGAGUGUGGACUGAAACUUACAAAAACUAGUCAGCUGUGGAGGAGUGCAAAAGGUCUGUCUGCGCACUGGAGAUCGGAAGGGUCCAAUCAGAGGCCUGGAGUCCACUGUAGUGUCCUAGUCCAGAGAACCGUGGGAAGAAAGCGAACUCUCCAAGGUGGGUGCUGCAGAGAGGCCAGUGCUGGACAUGAGGAGAGGACAGAAGGGGAAUUCUCUGUCAGAUAAGUGAUGCUGUCGGAGUGGAAGCUGGAACGGCCACACAGCUUCAAACAUGGCUAAUUUUUGUUUAACAUCAAUGAAAAAAAGCCAAAAUUUUCUGUUACUUACAGUUUACAAAAGUAUUUUAUGUACCAUACCUCAACUGAUUUCCAAAACCCUGCAAAUGUAAUUACGCCCAUUACAAAGGUAAGAAAAGUUGGGUCUGAGAGGCUAAAACAGUUUGCAGAGCAGAACCUCAGAAUUUGAACCCAGAACUCCUGAUAAGGUCCAGAGCUUUUUCUCUUCUCCCACAUUCUCUCCAAUGUAUAUUUUAUUCUCUUUCUGCUGCUGUUCUCUUUAUAUCUUUCUCCUCUGCUAUUUUGGAACGGCUGGUAGUUUCCUUCCUCAUUUGAAACCACAAGGUUCUUACUGACCAAGAAGCAAAAGACUAAAAUAUUUCAUUUAUUCUUUUUCUUUGAUAUGACAGAAGAUGAAGAACUUUUAGAGACACUUCAAAUCCAUUUUCCUCAGAAUAGCAUUUCUAUUUGGUCUGCAGAUUAACAUCAUGACUCAUAAUCUGGUAUGGCUGGGAUUUAAGAAGCCAAAUUUGGUAGUAAAUUCUCAGCCACAAAAACAUACAAAUUAUGGAGCUGCUGUCAUUGUU